rnacentral:sRNA from 1 species
GUGCGUUAGGGAUUGAAACGACAUCCUUUUUUCUUUUUCUGAAAAAAGAUAUAGUGGAAAGCCCGUUAAAAC